GAUGAACGCUAGCGAUAGGCUUAACACAUGCCAGUCGAGGGGCAGCACAAGGUAGCUUGCUAUCUGGGUGGCGACCGGCGCACGGGUGCGUAACGCGUAUGCAACUUGCCCUAUACAGGAGGAUAACCCGUCGAAAGACGGACUAAUACUGCGUAUGCUCACAACUUGGCAUCAAGUGGUGAGGAAAGAAAUUCGGUAUAGGAUAGGCAUGCGUCCCAUUAGCUUGUUGGUGAGGUAACGGCUCACCAAGGCAACGAUGGGUAGGGGAACUGAGAGGUUUAUCCCCCACACUGGUACUGAGACACGGACCAGACUCCUACGGGAGGCAGCAGUGAGGAAUAUUGGUCAAUGGGCGCGAGCCUGAACCAGCCAAGUCGCGUGAAGGAGGACUGUCUUAUGGAUUGUAAACUUCUUUUAUACGGGAAUAACAAGAGUCACGUGUGACUCCCUGCAUGUACCGUAUGAAUAAGCAUCGGCUAACUCCGUG
rnacentral:rRNA from 1 species